AGAGUUUGAUUAUGGCUCAGGAUGAACGCUAGCUACAGGCUUAACACAUGCAAGUCGAGGGGCAGCAUGGUCUUAGCUUGCUAAGGCUGAUGGCGACCGGCGCACGGGUGAGUAACGCGUAUCCAACCUUCCCCUUAGUAGGGCAUAGCCCGGCGAAAGUCGGAUUAACACCCUAUGUUUUUCCGUUGCGGGCAUCUAAUAUGGAACAAAGAUUUAUCGCUAAGGGAUGGGGAUGCGUCUGAUUAGGUAGUAGGCGGGGUAACGGCCCACCUAGCCUUCGAUCAGUAGGGGUUCUGAGAGGAAGGUCCCCCACAUUGGAACUGAGACACGGUCCAAACUCCCACGGGAGGCAGCAGUGAGGAAUAUUGGUCAAUGGCCGAGAGGCUGAACCAGCCAAGUAGCGUGCAGGACGACGGCCCUAUGGGUUGUAAACUGCUUUUAUGCGGGGAUAAAGUCCCCCACGUGUGGGUGUUUGCAGGUACCGCAUGAAUAAGGACCGGCUAAUUCCGUGCCAGCAGCAGC
rnacentral:rRNA from 1 species